CAAGAAAAGAAAAAGUUUUGUUGUUCGGGAUUGGUUUCCCGGCGACGAUCACUUUCACUGGAAUUGGGCUCUCGUGGCGGCGGAGGUUGGUGGAACAACACGUGUCCAAUUACUCAUUUUUAUUACUAUUAAAAAAGAAUGUAUUUGGGUUCUCCUUAUUUUGGGCUUCAAUAAGGUCUAUCUGGUCUUUGUUUAGUCCUAAAGAAAAUAAAAUUAGAACACAGACUCUUCAGAGAGCGAGAGAGAUAGAGAGUGUGAGAGAUUCUAGUGGCGACGACGAGAGAGAGAGCGACGAGAGAUGGAGAGUGUUCGAUUCUACUGGCGGCAAGGUCACGGUCGAUUCUACUGGCGGCGAGAGAUACAUAUGAACUAAGUCAGCGGAGGUAACUUUUCGUGGUCUUAAAGUCUUUGCAAAUCUGAGACCUGCUACAGUUGUGCCAUAGUUAGGGGAUGCUUCCGCCUUGAAGAGAGAGGUAGCAGAAGGUGUUGAUCUUAAAUAUUGUAAAAGAUCUUACAUGAGAGCCAAGGGGCAUAAAGACCAAUGAAAACGGCGAAGAAGUUGUGUUGAACAGUGAGGUUUAUGCAACCCUCGAGGCCACUAUUUAAUGGAUGAAACGAGUAACAACACUAGCCUCUGAAUAUGUUGAUGUUGAGCUGUCACAUAUGUAUGUUGACAAUGCUGCGAUGCAGCUAGUUCUGACCCCAAACAGUUUACACCAUUGCUACAAACAACAAAUUAGGUGAUAUAUUAUUAUCCGGUGAAGCUUCAAUGAAUCACUGGAAUGCUGCCAUCUUCUAGUCUCAGUGAUUCGCGACCUGGACUCUUUGAACCUUUACAUGGUUCUGCACCUGAUAUUGCUUGACAGGAUAAGACGAACCAAUUGGCAACCAUGCUUCUGAAAUACGGACUUGGAGAAGAAAAGGCAAUAAAGAGGAUUGAAGUUGCAGUGUUGGUUGCUCUGAAAAACGGUUUCAGAACUGGAGACGUUUACUAUGUGGGAACAGAUGAUUGUAUGUCGAAUGCUUUUUACUUUAGAUGUUCAGUGGAUCUAGUACAGCCUUGCCCGACAGAGCAACCUACUUGCCCAUUUUGUCUUGUCCAAACAGAUGCAGUUACUAUGUAGUAGACCUCCCUCGUUGUUCCUUGAAACAUUUGAGUUUAAUGACAAGCAAUUCACGUCUAUCUUCAGCGACUAUGUACACAACAACCACAAUUACCACCAUCACAACAACAACUUCAACGACAAUAUCUACGGUAAUACGCCGUCCAAUCACAAUAGCAUUAGCGAUGAUAAUAGCAAAGAAACACCACCAUCCCAUCAUGAUCAUCACAUGGAAAACAUAGCCUACCAAAACAAUCUUAUGUUCCAUGUUUUUAUUUUUCUGGAUUAACAAGGGAUUAGAUUGAUGAGAAGUAAGCUUAGGAGAUUGGUUUACAUGUGUGUUGCUUGUUGUGCAGUAUUGUGUAUUGUCUUUGAGGUGACAAGAGUUUUAUGUGGAAAAGAUUUGUUGUAA